AUGGCGGCAGCUCCGCCGCUUUCCAAGGCCGAGUAUCUGAAGCGUUACUUGUCCGGGGCAGAUGCCGGCGUCGACCGGGGAUCUGAGUCCGGUCGCAAGCGUCGCAAAAAGCGGCCGAAGCCUGGCGGGGCCGGCGGCAAGGGAAUGCGGAUUGUGGAUGAUGAUGUGAGCUGGACAGCUAUCUCCACAACCAAACUAGAAAAGGAGGAAGAGGAAGAUGAUGGAGAUUUGCCUGUGGUGGCAGAGUUUGUGGAUGAGCGGCCAGAAGAGGUAAAGCAGAUGGAGGCCUUUCGUUCCAGUGCCAAAUGGAAGCUUCUGGGAGGCCACAAUGAAGACCUACCCUCAAACAGACAUUUUCGUCACGAUACCCCGGAUUCAUCUCCUAGGAGGGUCCGUCAUGGUACCCCAGAUCCAUCUCCUAGGAGGGACCGUCAUGACACCCCGGAUCCAUCUCCUAGGAGGGCCCGUCAUGACACCCCAGAUCCUUCUCCCCUCAGAGGGGCUCGUCAUGACUCAGACACAUCUCCUCCCAGGAGGAUCCGUCAUGACUCCUCGGACACUUCACCCCCAAGGAGGGCCCGCCAUGAUUCGCCAGAUCCUUCUCCCCCAAGGAGGCCUCAGCAUAAUUCUUCAGGUGCAUCUCCUAGGAGAGUCCGUCAUGAUUCACCAGAUCCCUCUCCUCCUAGGCGAGCCCGUCAUGGUUCCUCAGAUAUCUCUUCCCCCAGAAGGGUCCAUAACAACUCCCCUGACACAUCUAGGAGGACUCUUGGCUCUUCAGACACACAGCAACUCAGAAGGGCCCGUCAUGACUCCCCUGAUUUGGCUCCUAAUGUCACUCAUUCCCUGCCCAGAACCAAAAGUGGUAAAGCCCCAGAAAGAGCCUCUAGCAAGACUUCUCCACAUUGGAAGGAGUCAGGAGCCUCCCAUUUGUCAUUCCCAAAGAACAGCAAAUAUGAGUAUGACCCUGACAUCUCUCCUCCACGAAAAAAGCAAGCAAAAUCCCAUUUUGGAGACAAGAAGCAGCUUGAUUCCAAAGGUGAGCAUAUGACUGUCCAUGAGAGGGAUGUAUGUAUCCCUGGGAGCUUUCUUUUGGCCGUUUACUUGAUUUAUUAGGUAUAAGAAUGGAAUUUCUUUGGGAAAGUUUUGAAAAGUGAGAGGCUGGGUUUGGGAGAGUUGAACAAUUAUGGUGGCAGGGAGAAAGGUUUUCAUAUGUCUUUUUAUGUACUUGCUCCACCCCAUAUAAAAGUACAAUUUAUUUGUUGCAGAAGCUUUGGAAUGUACAGAAGUAUAUAAAGAUAAAAUGUGACACAAAAUUCUGUCAUUCAGAGGCAAUUAUUGUUAGUGUUGUAGCCAGGGUCAUCUUAGUCUUUUUUGGUUUGCAUUUUUUAUAUAGUUGAGCUCUGGCUGUGUAGAACAUUUGUAUUGCAUGUGCAGUCUUGCCUGCUCUCCUUUCUUUUUUUUUUUUUUUUUUUGAGACGGAGUCUCGCUCUGUCGCCCAGGCUGGAGUGCAGUGGCACGAUCUCGGCUCACUGCAAGCUCCGCCUCCCGGGUUCACGCCAUUCUCCUGCCUCAGCCUCCCGAGUAGCUGGGACUACAGGCGCCUGCUACCACGCCCGGCUAAUUUUUUGUAUUUUUAGUAGAGACGGGGUUUCACCGUGUUAGCCAGGAUGGUCUCGAUCUCCUGACCUCGUGAUCCGCCCGCCUCGGCCUCCCAAAAAGAAAAGAGAAUAAAUCUGUGUGACUCUGACGCCCCUAGUGUGAAAAUUACAUGAAAUCUCCUACGGCUGGGAGAAGAACUAGAAAUUAAAGAAUUCCUUAUUUUUUUUUUUUUUUUUUGAGACAGUCUCAGGCUGGAGUGCAGUGGCAUGAUCUCAGCUCACUGCAACCUCCGCCUCCUGGUUCAAGCAAUUAUUGUGCCUCAGCCCUCCAAGUAGCUGGAAUUACAGGUGUGCCCACCACGCCAGCUAAUUUUUUGUUUUUAGUAGAGAUGGGGUUUCGCCAUGUUGGCCAGGCUGGUCUUGAACUCCUGACCUGAGAUGAUCUGCCCACCUCAGCCUCCAAAGUGCUGGGAUUAUAGGCUUGAGCCACCAUGCCUGCCAAAGAUUCUUUAAUCCCUUGGAAGAAUCUAAAAAAAUAACUUACC
ensembl:lincRNA